rnacentral:tRNA from 1 species
AACUAAGGAUUUAAGUUAAAUAAACUAAGAACCUUCAAAGUUCUAAAUAAAGAUAUUCUUU